CAGAAGCUAGGAGGGCAACCCACCACCACCAAGACACCCAGGGUGAAGAGGACCAACAGGACGCCGCUGGAUCCACAGGAUGGAGUUGAUGUGAGUAGCACAGCAAGGUAACCUCCUGGGAACUCCUUAUUGCUGUAUGCUACCUUCUCCUCUCUACCAGUCACAGGUGAGGGACCUUGCCUCAAAACCCUUGCCUUGGUGCAACGUUCCUGAAGCAGUGGUGAUAGCGUUGAACAGCUCGGGGUGAUGCAGACAACACAUCGUAGUGAAAAUGCUCCAAAGGGCCAUGUCGCAGAAAGGAACCACCCAGUGUGUCCAAAGGUUGCCAGAAGCAACUACCUCUUCAGGUACAAGUCUUGAGUCCUGGUUUUGCUGGAAUCUGUGGGGGUAUGAAACAUGUGGCUUUCCUUGCUGUACUCUGCCAGCCAGAUACAGCCAAUACUCUGCCUCUGUUGACAGACUGACUCUGAUCCUGACCAAGAGGAGAAAUGAACCGCAGUGAAAAUAAGAAAAACAGAUCAGAGGGAGUAAAAAAGAUCUGGAGCUGUCUUUAAAAACUGGGUCUUGCACCUGAAAUGAGAACUUCUGCUUUGAGACUUUCAGAUGGCCCCUGUGCCGAAGCUGGCCUGAAGGCUCCUCAGACACUACCUGGCAUUGUCCCAAACGCCAUCUGAAUGCUGCUUUCUUGUGUGCUGUCGUCUUUGUGGAUUCUUGAACUCAGAGCACUAUUCCAGUAGGUGAAUAUAUCAAAAGGUGCUGGUGAAGUUGGUGCCCAGAUGCUUUUUCUGGCUCGUCUCACUCUUUCUAGUGAGACUUGGGAACAGUUAGCACAGAAAGAUGUAGCCCAGAUCACUAUCAGCUACAGUGCAUGAAAACAGCUCCAGCUUUCUUGGAGCCUGGCAACUUCUCACAGACAGGACCUGAGCCAGUCCCAGAGUUGCAGCUGUGCCUACAGUAAUGCAAAGCAGUAAGUGCGUAUAUAAGAUUAGUGACUUAACAUGAAGUCUGCUUCACUGAACUGAAAAGUCAAUCUCGAGAGGCACGCAUGUACAGCAAGUCACUGCAGCAGACAGUAACACACGGGAAAUCGUCUCCAGAGACUUGCCUAGGACUCUGCCCACAUGUCUUAAAUGUGUUGACACGUGCCUCUGCUCUGGUGCUCUUGAUCGCAGAGCAGAGUGACUCCUGUAUGUGGACUUGUGCUCUGACCGGUCACAUUCAGCCCGGUCCAUGGGACCCUGUGGCUCUGUGAUCCCGGAGCAGGCAUCCAGCACUACUCGCUGGAGUGACCAGACUCUGGCGUGCGUGUCCUCAGGGGCUACAGCGAUGGCUACAGCGGGCACUGAGAGGAAUUUCCCCUCUCUGCAAGGUGCAUGUGUGGCAUCUUUUUAACCAGUACGGAAGAAAAGAUCUACUUGUUCAAGCAAAGACCUUUCUUCCAUCUUUCUAUUUUAGACUUUUUCCAGAUACUUUGUAAACUUUUAAACUCUGUAUCACCCCAGUAACUCACAGGAUUUGGGGAACUCGGGUGAGUGUGGCCUUUGGCCUUCAAAUUAGGGGUGUGAAAGACUCUAAAUGAUCAGACUUUUAUGCCUGGUUCUCAUCUGGUAGCACGUAUGAGGUCCAGAGUUAGAGCUCUUCCACUAACCACCUAAAUUCACAUGGCUUUACAUGGUACUCUGUUAAGGCACAGGACUUCUGGCGUCUGUCAGACUGGGUCUCUCUGGAGUAAACCAGUUUGCUCUACACAGUUCAGCAGAAUCACACCAGUCCUACCCAGUUAAGGCCCACAGUUUAGACUCCAUGUAUUUAACUACCAGCCUUGAUUCUUCUCUCUGCAGAGAUCUCUAAGCCCACGUCACCUCAGUCUAACUAGCUCACAUUAAACAAAUUGCAGCUUGGCAGCAGAAUCUGGCUUUUCGAGACUGUCUUGCCGAUGGUACUGCUGCUGCAAGAGCAGCACCUGCUUGCGUGGAAGUGAACCAAGGACAGUAUCCUGGUGAAGAUCUGCUGCUAGAGAUCACCAGCUGUGCUCUAAGGCGGUCACCAGGGCUGGGCUAGGUCUGCAGAGAUGCAGAAAGCCUGAAAUGAGUGUGGAGUUCAACCCUGCGCUCUGAGUGAGCCAGAGAGAAGCUGUUUUGCACAGACAGAAGGAAACCAGGCCAGGCUGCGCUGCCUCAUCGCUUGCAUGUGUUAGCUGGUGGGCUCACUUGCAGCCUCCCCUGCCGUGGGAUCUGCCCCGUGCUGCUCUGCCCUUCCCUUCCUAGAGGAAUGGCAGCCGGGGAGGUCCGUCCUUCCCUUGCCUGGGCCCUGGCUGGGCUGUUCGAAGCUCGUGGGCAGAGGGUGGCUCGGCUCUUAGGCUGCGCACAGCAGAGAAACCAAGAGGUCUGAAGACAUCUGAAGUCAUUUCCCAAGGCGAAACACCACACUGAUACUGCCGCUUGUGCUGGCGCAGGAACCUGCCUGAACGAGCAGGUGUGAGGGCAGGGGAAUGGCUGUUUUCACCAUUCCAGGGUGCUGCAAAUGUAAUUCUCAUAUUUGCUGUCCAGUGCACAGAGUGUUAGCCCGUUGGGUACAUCACUGGGCCUAAAUACACUUGAUUCGUGGCUCAAUUUAAUUCUUAUUUCCCUGUGGCAAAGUGAAGGUUUGACUUUUUUUUUUAAUUUCCUUAAAAAUAAAGAUGACGAUAACAGGCCAACCUACAUGUCACCUCAGCUUUGGUCCUGUGGGUUAAGUUGGUGAGGAGUCUUGGUGCCAGGAAACCACGAGGAGGGCUCGUUUGCCACGACCGGCAGCCCGGGGUGGUGCUUGGCUGGAGCGGGCGUUAGGACGCGUUUGGGAAGGAGAGCUGCAGUGCCCUAGCAAGAAGGGGAUGUCUGCCAGGGCUCCCAGCAGCGGGGCAAGUGGAGCUGGGAUGAGGCCGUCAAAGCAAAAAGUUGUAAAAGGACUGAAAAAAGUGAUGCAGGGAUUUCUUUUCUUUUUCUCUUCUGGCUUAUUUCUUGUCCUCCCCCUCCCCACCCCCCCCACCCCCACCCCCCCAGCUUUCCUGUCUAAAGGCCUGGGAGGAGAUUUUGAUAAAUAAGAAAUUGUUGUGAAUUGUGUUGGAAGAAGGCAGCACCGUGUGAGAGUGAUGUUAGUUACGAUGGAUGCACCGUGACUUGCACACGUGGGUGCAGAGGUGAUCCCGGGGGAGUUCAUUCCCAGUGUACUGUCAGAACGGCUCUGCUAUGGAUAAUGUGCUAACACCAUUCUUUUUUUUACUUUUCUCUCCUCACCGCUUGGCCAGUUCUUGGGGCUAUUCUUUUUUUUAAAAAAGAAAAGAAAAGAAAAGAAAAAGCCCUCUAUCCCUAGAGAAGGAGGCAUAUCCAGACCAUCCUGAUUAGAGAUUCAUUUUGCUCAGUGUUAGCAGCUGCCUUUAAAAGUGUAUACUUAUAAACAGCUGGUAAAAGCACCUAAUAACAAACUGUCUGCAUUAUUUAUAAAAGCAGUUUGUGUCUUCACAAGCUGCUCAGAAAAACUGAGCAUUGCCCUUGAUGAAUUAGUGAUUACGCCGUAUUUAAAAGGCAGUAUUUUACUCACUCGAAGUGGCACUGCGCACAAACUUGAGUUACAUCACAACUAGCUGCUAUCUCUUGGCUGUUAGUUCAGCUCCUGGAGAAGCACAGAAAUAUCUUACAAAGAUAGCAAAGCUCUCGGUUAAGGGACGUGGGGGAACACACCUCUGCAAUACCUCUGCCACUUUAGGUAGCUGAAAAGUGGAGGUGCAGCAAAGAAAGAUGAGGAUGUUCUGGAGAUUCAGAUAAACUGAUGAGGAAUUGUAUGGGUGCAAGGGACACGUGUGGUCCAGUGCAACACCACGUAGACAUUAGCUUCCGGUGCCCCUGGGCUUCUGGAAUAUGUGGACCAUGUUACACUCUGCUUUAAAGAGACAAUCCUUAUUUCUCUAUGCAGAAAUUGGGGGUGACAGGACAUAGUCCUGCACAUCUGGAAUGCUCAGUUUUAGACCUCAGAGUUGCUGAAGGCAAGCAUGUUUCACAUAAAAAGCUGACCUUUUUAGGGAGUAAUAGAAGCACACUUUGUGUAGUAUCCUGAAUAUCAUUCAGGAUUGCUGCAAUUUCAAGUUCUCAUUUAAAAAUUCUUUAUUAGCUUUGCAAUCCUCCAUGUUUUGGAAGGAUCACACAGUGCUUGAUUUUGUUUGUAACACACUGGAACUUCAGGAUACACACUUGGUCACAUUGACACCUUAGAUUACAGGACUACAAUAAUUUAUAUCAUUUUGCAGGUUUAAGUCUAACAGAAUAAUGCAUAGAAAGUAAACAGUUAAGAAUUUUUCUUCUGGUCCUAUUUGCUUAGUGGAAAAACACCAUUUCAGCUUCAUACCGAUAAGGCUCUAAUAGCCAGCCUAUCCAGCCAGCAGUUACAAUUUCUCAUUCCCAAAAAAGCACUAAUAAGGUAAAUCUCUAAAGGAGGGCAAGGACAUUUUCCUCUUGAAAAUCAUUCAAUACAUUUCAAUCAUUUCAAUACAUUCCUGAAAAUGAAAAUAACUUUUCAUUAAAAAAAAGAAUACACUUUUUUCCCUUCUUGAGAGAAAGUGCUCAGUAGCAUAAAAUCCAAAGACUUAGUGAAACUGAUUACGGAACUCCCCUUAACUUCAGUGGAACCAGGGCUGGACUCUGACAAAGUUUAGACCACGCGCAGAGAUAAGUCCUUCGAAAAACAGAGCAGGGGGUGGGGAUAUGACUGGGGUUUGGAAAAAAGGAAAAGAAAACAGAAAAAUGGACAAGCAAGCGGAGCUUACCUUUAAAGAAAGACAGGAACAAGGAUGCCCAGAGACAGAGUGCAGAAUAAACAAAUCCCAAACAAUUCUCUGCGAGCAUUGUCAGAGCAGGCUGGCUGCCCC